CUACGGGUCGCUGCAGUGGGGAAUAUUGCACAAUGGAGGAAACUCUGAUGCAGCAACGCCGCGUGGAGGAUGACACUUUUCGGAGCGUAAACUCCUUUUAUAUAGGAAGAAGAUGACGGUACUAUAUGAAUAAGCGCCGGCUAACUCCGUGCCAGCAGCCGCGGUAAUACGGAGGGCGCAAGCGUUACUCGGAAUCACUGGGCGUAAAGAGCGUGUAGGCGGAUUAAAAAGUCAGAAGUGAAAUCCUAUAGCUUAACUAUAGGACUGCUUCUGAAACUCUUAAUCUAGAAUAUGGGAGAGGUAGAUGGAAUUUCUGGUGUAGGGGUAAAAUCCGUAGAGAUCAGAAGGAAUACCGAUUGCGAAGGCGAUCUACUAGAACAUUAUUGACGCUGAGACGCGAAAGCGUGGGGAGCAAACAGGAUUAGAUACCCGAGUAGUC
rnacentral:rRNA from 1 species